CAGGUUCGGGACGCAGUUUGAUCAUACAGAUUCUUGCUUAAAAAUAUCUGUAAGAUGUAAUUUUCUUACACAUUCAGCCAUAACAAUCCUCAGCAGCAACAUGUCCCAUCGAAUACAGCCUUGACUCACAAAUUCCAUCCUGUUGCUCGUUUCCUUUCAGAUAACGUUCCCAUGGACCACCCACCCACCCACAAACGCAGAGGUUCUCCUUGUCAGAUCCGCCUGUACCUCACAGCUUCAUUGCUUGCUGAUUCCUAGCUCCGGGCAGACAGGAUGCAGGUUCACAGAUGGACACCUCGGUGCUUUUUUCCAUUAGUGCCUCCAGGACACAGUAUGAUCCUUCCUGCCCCUGGACAUCUCCUGCUACAGACCCAGAGGGGAACCAGGUUCCACGCUGGCAAAGCUUCUGAACGGGCAGUGGAAACCCAGCAGGAUGAGGGGCACCCUUGGGCACUGACACAGCUUUUGUUGAUUGGGUUGGAUUCAGGAGGAAAGCAGUUGUAUUUCAGUGCACGGCCGAAGCGUGGUGAGCCCUCAGGAUGCCCCACUGGUGUGGAUACUUUGUCUGUAAAAUUGGUAAUGGUAGGCAAUCCUCCCAGGUUCUCCUCAACUGCCCUAAGCAUGGGCAUCUUGUCGGAGCAGCCCAGCUUCCUAUAGAAAAACUACAAGAAUACCACUUUAAGAAUAAAACAUUUUAAAGGAUCUUUAGGGCAAAAUUCUCCAGAUGCACAAAACAGCAAAUGACUGCCUUUGAUAGAAGUAUGCAGUGCAAAGCUCUGGCUCUUCAGGUGUCUCUAAGAGCUCACAUCAGGCACAGUCAAUCCUCAGGGCUCUGUAUCAGGUCAGCUGCAAGUCCACCUUCCCGUGCUGUGGACAUGAGCAGCAAACAAAACCCCAGAGGUUGAGGGAAAGCUUCGCAGCAGAUUGGCCAAAGUGCCCAGUGUUUACCUUGCUGAAAAUAAACUGAAAUCCCAGAUUAAAACACCUAGGAACUUCAGAAGAUGAGUCUGUCCACGCUGGAUUUAACUUGAAAUGUGCAAUGAAGAAAAGACCAAGUGCAAGAGCUCAAAUCUUUCUUCCUAGUCUCUAUUUAGCUACACCAAUAAGCUACAAAUUUUUAAGACUGUUUUUAUUAGUUCUACCCUAAUUUUGCUGCUUUUUUAACAUAGAAGUGGUGUAAAAACCUUAUAAAAACACAAUGCUCAAGAACUGCUGCUUAAAAAUGGAUUGCUCACUGUUUUUCUUUAUUGAUGACAGAGCAGAAAAAAGCACGGAGAGCACUACUAAACUAAAUUGCUGGUUGUAAAUAUGUCUACUUACACAGAGUGAAAAUGCAAAGGACUCUUCAAUUUUUAUAGUAAAAAAAAUAAAAUCACUGAUUCUUUA